CUGGAGGAACACCUCAACCAGCAGAAGGUGCUGACCUCUGAGAUCAAGGGGAAGAGGGAGAGUGUGAAGAGUGUUCUGAGAGACACUGACGCCUGUGUCAACUCCAUCAAGGACUAUGAGCUGGAGUUGGCCUCAUACAGUGCUGGUCUGGAGACUCUACUAAACAUCCAUAUGAAGAGGACCAU